UCGGGCUCACCCAGCUGCAAUGAUACAUAUAUCUCCUCAUCCGAGCCAUUCUUUAAUUCUGAGAGGUUUUUUAAUUCCACAUUUUCCAGUUGGUUUUUUUCGUGAACUGGAGAUCUCCCUGCAAAACUUGAAAUGAACUGGUGUUCCACAUUCGGAACUGCUUCUACCCCAUCUUCUAUAUGAAACUCGGCGUGAAGGAAAGGUCUAGUCAGUCCUUGUUGGGAUUCUCCUUCAACUAAAACUUGCUGAAUAUUUAAAUUUAGAGGCCCAAAGUUUUCUUCAAUUCUAACUUUCGAUAGCACCCGAUCAGGUGGAGAUGACUCCCCCACUGUAGAAUCUAAUCCCGCUGCAGAUGCAUUUCUUUGAUCCUGCACUGCAGCUUGAAGCCCUUCAUUGGUAGUGAUGAGAUCAAGUUCAAGGAGGUCAAGCAGGCGCCCAAGAUCAACUCCACUAGUCCAGUUUUCUGGGGGUAGGCCAACUUUAAGCUUCAACCUACCUCGAUUAGCUGUCCCACCCCAAAUAAUCCCAACUGGCCUUGGUCUGUUACCAUUCUGACCUGUCAAGAGAAUGAGGCUUCCACUAUCACCUUCAAG
rnacentral:misc_RNA from 1 species